GGAGUUGGGUGGUGAACUUGUGUAACCGAAGCAGCGGCUGGAUGUGAAGCCUUUUCCUUGUUCAUGGACCUGCCGGGAGGGUCAGUUCAAGGGCAUUUCCUCUGCAGUAAUUUUUAUACAGAAGUAAAGAGUUAAGUGAACAGAAACCCACAUAUACAACUUGUUCAGUGGUGGUGGGCAGAAUGAAAGUGGCUCAUUUCAUGGCCAGUACAGUAUGUAUCUCAAAUUAUAAAUGGAGCCUAACAGGUAUUUGGAGCAAGAAUUCUAUUUUCCGGAGGCUGUCAUCACCCCUGGAGCAGCGCGUCCCUGUUGCCCGCAUCCUCUCCAGCAUUUGGCGGCGUCUGUGCUCUGGACUGCAGCCCUUCUAGAAGAUCAUCAUCUGAGGAGAGUGAGCAGGAGAAAUUCAGGCUCAGUCAAGAAAUAAAUAAACAACACAAAGAAUGACAAGAGUAGACACAACUUUAACGAAGAGAAAUUUAAAGUAAAUACCACACACUGAUACUGAUUUACACGGUACCAAAAAUUGGAAAACAGAGACUAAACAGACUAUUAUCCAGAAAAACACCUUAACCAAAAUUGUCUCAGGAAAAUCUGUUUUAUGGAGCAAACCGUAAUUUGAAAAGAUACAUGUAUCCCAUUGUUCACUGCAGCACUAUUCCCAAAAGCCAAGACAUGGGAGGAACCUAAGUAUUCAUUAGCAAAGGACUGGAGAAGGAAGAUGUGGAGAAGAGGCCACCACUCAGCCACAGAAAAGCAUGAAGAAGUGCCACUGGCAGCAGCGUGGAUGGCUCUGGAGGUUAUCAUGCCAACCAAAGUAGUCAGAGAAAGACAAAUAUCAUAUAGUAUCACUUACACGUAGAAUCUAAAAAAAGAUACAAAUGAAAUUGUUUACAAAACAGAAGUGAACUCACAGACAUGGAGAGUAAACUUACGGUUACCAAUGGGAAAAGAGAGAGAAGGAAUAAAUUGAGAAUUUGGGAUUCACACACACACACACACACACUACUGUACAUAAAAUAGAUAAACACGGUCCUACUGUAUAGCCCAGGGAACUAUACUCAGUAUCGUGUAUGAACCUAUAAUAGAAAAGACCCUGAAUCUCUUUGCUGUGCUUCUGAAAGUAACACAACAUUGUAAAUCAACUACACUGCAAUUAAAAAAGAAAAUUUUUCUUUUAAAAAACUUAAACCAAUAACAUUUAAAGGAAACACGUUUAUUCUGUCCUUCAAAUGACAAGAGUUGACUUUUUUUUAACACACAACUUCUAACAAAUCAUCAUGACAAACUAUUCCAAGAACAUAGCAAAAUAAAAUUAUGCAACUUAUUUUAUGAGGCAAAUAUAGAUUUCCUCAUAAAACACUAAAUCUACACAAGGAAAAUAAAAAUCUAGAACAAUUUUACCCUUGAACAUAUUUUUUAAGAAAUCCCACCAAAAAAUAGUGACUACAGCAGUAUUUAAAGAAAAUAGAGCAUGAACAGGUGGGAUUUAUCACAGGAAUGCAAUAUUGUCUAUUACUGCAAUUGCUCAUAUUAAUAAGGUAAAUGAAAGAAACAGCAUUAUAUAUGGCACCACAAAUGCAGAAAAAGCAGUCAAAAUCCUUGUGGACACUGAUGACAAUAAUUUUUAUUAGCAAACUAGAUAGGAGGUUUUUUUUUUUUAACUGUAAAAAUAUCUGUUGAGAUGGGAUUAAGAUUGCAGAACAGAAGACUGGAGCUCAGCUUCUCUCAUAAAAACAACAAAAUUACAACCAAAUGCUGAACAACCUUCAACCAGAUACACUGGAGACUUUCAAAACAGAUAUCCUACUCUAGAAGACAAAGAGGAGGUCACGUCAAGGUGGCAGGAGGGGUGGUUACGUGAUAUAAGCAACCCCAUCCAUACACGCCGGGUGGGCAGCCCACAGACUGGAGAGUAACUAUGACAGAGACUCACCUACAGGAGUGAGAGUUCUGAGCCCCACAUCAGGCCCCAAUGCCUGGGGACCUGGCACUGGGAGAAAGAGCCCACCAGAGCUUCUGGCAUCGAUGGCCAGUGGGGCUUGUGCGCAGGAGAUCCAGGGGACUGAGGGAAACGGAGACCCCAUUUUUGAAAGGAGCACACAGACCUUCAUGUACACUGGGUCCCAGGGCAAAGCAGAGACUCCCUAGGAAUCUGGGUUGGACCUGACUGCAGUUCGUGGAGAAUCUCCUGGGAAAACAGGGGUGAAUGUGGCUCAUUGUGGGGGACGGACAUUGGAAGCAAAGCUCUUGGGAAUCUUUAGCAGCAUGCCUUUCUCUGGAGGUGGCCUGUUUUUUGGGAAAAUCUGGCCCCACCCAUUGGUGCUGAGAAGCCCCAGGCCAAACAACAAUCCAGGUGGGAUCACAGCCCUGCCCAUCAGUAAACAGGCUGCCUAAAGACCCCCCAGGCACACAGCCAACCUUUAUUCUCACCCAGAGACAAAGCCCCACCCACCAGAGGGAUAGGAAUCAGCCCCACCUACCAAUGGGUAGGCACCAGUCCCUCCCAUCUGGAAGCCUACAGCAAGCCCCCAUACCAACUUCAGCCACAAGGGGGGCAGACACCAGAAGAAAGAGAGAGUACAACUCUAUUGUCUGCAAAAAGGAGAACACACCAAAAACCUAUAAAAAUGAAAAGGCCAAGAGCUAUAACUCAGGUAAGGGAGAAAGAAAACCCAGAAAAACAGCUAGGUGAUCUGGAGAUUAUCAGCCUCAAGGAAAAAGACUUUAGACUGAUGAUGCUGAAGAUGAUGUAAGACACUGGAAAUAAACUGGAGGCAAAGAUGGGUAACUUACAGGAAACACUGAGCAAAGAGAUAGAAGAUACAAAACUUAAGUAAGGAGAGAUGCAAAAUACAGUAACUGAAAUAAAAAAUUCAUUAGAAGCAGCCAACAGCAGAAUAUAGGAGGCAGAAUGAAUAAGUGAGGUGGAGGACAGACUAGUGGAAAUCACGGAUGCAGAACAGAAAAGAAAAAAA
rnacentral:lncRNA from 1 species